UGCAGGAUGUUAUACGCAAAGCUUCACUCAGUUUGAGUGUGAGAUGAGGCCUGAGAGUGGUAGGGUUUUCUGCAGGAUGUUAUACGCAAAGCUUCACUCAGUUUGAGUGUGAGAUGAGGCCUGAGAGUGGUAGGGUUUUCUGCAGGAUGUUAUACGCAGAGCUUCACUCAGUUUUGGUGUGAGAUGAGGCCUGAGAGUGGUAGGGUUUUCUGCAGGAUGUUAUACGCAGAGCUUCACUCAGUUUGGGUGUGAG